rnacentral:rRNA from 1 species
UAGAGUUUGAUCCUGGCUCAGGAUGAACGCUGGCGGCGUGCUUAACACAUGCAAGUCGAACGGUGAAGCCAAGCUUGCUUGGUGGAUCAGUGGCGAACGGGUGAGUAACACGUGAGCAACCUGCCCCGAACUCUGGGAUAAGCGCUGGAAACGGCGUCUAAUACUGGAUACGAGCUGCGGAGGCAUCUUCAGCAGCUGGAAAGAUUUUUUGGUUCGGGAUGGGCUCGCGGCCUAUCAGCUUGUUGGUGAGGUAAUGGCUCACCAAGGCGUCGACGGGUAGCCGGCCUGAGAGGGUGACCGGCCACACUGGGACUGAGACACGGCCCAGACUCCUACGGGAGGCAGCA